rnacentral:rRNA from 1 species
CAGCCGCCGCGGGAAUACGAAGGGGGCUAGCGUUGUUCGGAAUCACUGGGCGUAAAGAGCACGUAGGCGGAUCUUUAAGUCAGGGGUGAAAUCCCGAGGCUCAACCUCGGAACUGCCUUUGAUACUGGGGAUCUCGAGUCCGGGAGAGGUGAGUGGAACUGCGAGUGUAGAGGUGAAAUUCGUAGAUAUUCGCAAGAACACCAGUGGCGAAGGCGGCUCACUGGCCCGGAACUGACGCUGAGGUGCGGAAGCGUGGGGAGCAAACAGGAUUAGAUACCCCUGUAGUCCCUGUCUCUUAUAC